rnacentral:rRNA from 1 species
UACAGAGGUCUCAAGCGUUGUUCGGAAUCACUGGGCGUAAAGGGUGUGUAGGCUGCGCCGUAAGUCAGAUGUGAAAGCUCAGGGCUCAACCCUGAAAUUGCAUCCGAUACUGCGGUGCUUGAGAAAUGAAGGGGAGUCUAGAAUUUUCGGUGUAGCAGUGAAAUGCGUAGAUAUCGAAAGGAAUACCAAAGGCGAAGGCAGGACUCUGGGCAUUUUCUGACGCUGAUGCACGAAGGCCAGGGUAGCGAACGGG